rnacentral:rRNA from 1 species
AGAGUUUGAUCAUGGCUCAGGACGAACGCUGGCGGCGUGCUUAACACAUGCAAGUCGAACGGAAAGGCCCUUCGGGGUACUCGAGUGGCGAACGGGUGAGUAACACGUGGGUGAUCUGCCCUGCACUUUGGGGUAAGCCUGGGAAACUGGGUCUAAUACCGAAUAUGACCACGCUCUUCAUGGGGUGUGGUGGAAAGCUUUUGCGGUGUGGGAUGGGCCCGCGGCCUAUCAGCUUGUUGGUGGGGUAAUGGCCUACCAAGGCGACGACGGGUAGCCGGCCUGAGAGGGUGACCGGCCACACUGGGACUGAGAUACGGCCCAGACUCCUACGGGAGGCAGCAGUGGGGAAUAUUGCACAAUGGGCGCAAGCCUGAUGCAGCGACGCCGCGUGAGGGAUGACGGCCUUCGGGUUGUAAACCUCUUUCACCAGGGACGAAGCGCAAGUGACGGUACCUACAGAAGAAGGACCGGCCAACUACGUGCCAGCAGCCGCGGUAAUACGUAGGGUCCGAGCGUUGUCCGGAAUUACUGGGCGUAAAGAGCUCGUAGGUGGUUUGUCGCGUUGUUCGUGAAAACUCACAGCUUAACUGUGGGCGUGCGGGCGAUACGGGCAGACUAGAGUACUGCAGGGGAGACUGGAAUUCCUGGUGUAGCGGUGGAAUGCGCAGAUAUCAGGAGGAACACCGGUGGCGAAGGCGGGUCUCUGGGCAGUAACUGACGCUGAGGAGCGAAAGCGUGGGGAGCGAACAGGAUUAGAUACCCUGGUAGUCCAA